rnacentral:lncRNA from 1 species
CUCAGGAGCUCCUGCUGUCCCCCAGCCAGGCUCUGGGAGGAAGGCCUCCCUAGGAUGUACCCAGUGGGCCCCAGGAAGGCCUGCCCAGCACUGAGGCCCCGUGAGGCCGGCAGCAGGGUCCUCCCCAGGCUUCCCCCUACAGCUCAGAGCUCGAAGCGGGCGCCAGGGGAGCCUCCGUCAUUGCGAUGCAGCCCCAGCCUCACGGAGGUGACAGGUGAGGGGCAGCCACCUUACCCGGCCGCCUGACCCAGGGAAAUGAAGUAGCAUCUUCUGUUCAGGUGGAACCAAAGGCUCAUACACACCUGCCCCUCAGCCUCAAGUUCAAGCCAGAUACACAGUGGGAAGUCAUGUGUGCGUUUGUGAAGAAUGAGAACGAAGAAUUUCGGCGGAAACACCUUGCAGCAUCUAAAGAGCUUUCUAUGUGCUGGGGUACCCCAACCCUGCCUCAAGGGAUGGGGUCGGCUGUCCUUUCUCCAAGGCCCUGACAGCGCCUGGGGAGAGGUCUGGAAAGAUGCACCCUAAACUGUCAACAAAUUUUAAGAAAAUUCGGAAGCCCUGGGGCAGAGGAGCGAGGAG